UACGUAGGGUGCAAGCGUUAAUCGGAAUUACUGGGCGUAAAGCGUGCGCAGGCGGUUAUGUAAGACAGGUGUGAAAUCCCCGGGCUUAACCUGGGAACUGCAUUUGUGACUGCAUAGCUAGAGUACGGUAGAGGGGAUGGAAUUCCGGGUGUAGCGGUGAAAUGCGUAGAUAUCCGGAGGAACACCGGUGGCGAAGGCGGCUUCCUGGACCGACACUGACGCUGAGGCGCGAAAGCUAGGGAGCGAACAGG
rnacentral:rRNA from 1 species